UAAGCCAACUCUCGCGAGGCUGCCGCAUGGCCUCACGGGAGUUGCAGUUCUAACCCUACUGUUCAGAGGCGCGAGGAACGUGUUGCGAUGGUUGUAACCUGGUUUUGGAGGCACUUUUACUUGGGAGUGCACCUGGACAAACGUGUCAACCCGUCGAAGCCUUGGUUUCUUCAUUUGUGGGACUGGAACUCACCACCCCGAGAUCAAGAGUCCUUUGCACUACAGACUGCGCCAGCCAGGAGCCCUUCAGUAAUAUGAUGUUUAACCCAAUGUAUGAAAUAUAGUAAGCUCCAUCCUCACUUUUAAGUUGCCGGUCUUUGGCAGCUCUUCCUGCCCACGGGUCCUGUCCCCGUGCUUUAAUAAACCACCAUUUUGCACCAAAGAUGUAUCAAAAAUUCUUUCUUGGUCAUCGACUCCAGAUCUCACCCCACCGAACCU